rnacentral:rRNA from 1 species
UGGUGCCAGCAGCCGCGGUAAUUCCAGCUCCAAUAGCGUAUAUUAAAGUUGUUGCAGUUAAAAAGCUCGUAGUUGAAUUUCGGGAUUAGUACGUUGGUCGUGCCUUAGGUACGUACUGGUGUUACUGGUUCCUACCUUCUGACGAACCAUCAUUUCAUUAAUUUGGUGUGGCGGGGAAUCAGGACUGUUACUUUGAAAAAAUUAGAGUGUUUAAAGCAGGCUCGCGCUUGAAUACAUUAGCAUGGAAUAAUGAAAUAGGACGUUGACCCUAUUUUGUUGGUUUCUAGGAUUGACGUAAUGAUUAAUAGGGAUAGUUGGGGGCAUUAGUAUUCAAUUGUCAGAGGUGAAAUUCUUGGAUUUAUUGAAGACUAACUACUGCGAAAGCAUUUGCCAAGGAUGUUUUCAUUGAUCAAGAACGAAAGUUAGGGGAUCGAAGACGAUCAGAUACCGUCGUAGUCUUAACCAUAAACUAUGCCGACUAGGGA